GACGUAGGGCGCGAGCGUUUGUCCGGAUUUAUUGGGCGUAAAGAGCGCGUAGGCGGCACGGUACGACCGGUGUGAAAGCCCCCGGCUCAACUGGGGAGGGUCAUUCGAUACUGAUCGACUCGAAGGCAGGAGAGGGAAGCGGAAUUCCCGGUGUAGUGGUGAAAUGCGUAGAUAUCGGGAGGAACACCAGUGGCGAAGGCGGCUUCCUGGCCUGUUCUUGACGCUGAGGCGCGAAAGCUAGGGGAGCAAACGGG
rnacentral:rRNA from 1 species